rnacentral:rRNA from 1 species
CAGUAGCCACGGUAAAACGUAGGUCCCGAGCGUUGUCCGGAUUUAUUGGGCGUAAAGCGAGCGCAGGCGGUUAGAUAAGUCUGAAGUUAAAGGCUGUGGCUUAACCAUAGUACGCUUUGGAAACUGUUUAACUUGAGUGCAAGAGGGGAGAGUGGAAUUCCAUGUGUAGCGGUGAAAUGCGUAGAUAUAUGGAGGAACACCGGUGGCGAAAGCGGCUCUCUGGCUUGUAACUGACGCUGAGGCUCAAAAGCGUGGGGAGCAAACAGGAUUAGAUACCCCAGUAGUCCCUGUCUCUUAUACC